rnacentral:rRNA from 1 species
UAAUUUGUUUGAAAUUCAAAGAACCUGGCGGUACUUUAGUCUAGUUAGAGGAACCUGUUAUAUAAACGAUAAACCACGUAGAAUCUUUCUUGUUCUUGUAUAGCCAGUAUACCUUCAUUGUUAGAUAAUUUUAUAUAUGAAUUAUUGAAAUCGAGAAAAUCAAGUAUAUUAGAUCAAGGUGCUGCUAAUGAGCAAGUAUAAAUGGGUUACAAUAUUUUAAAAGAGGCUGAUUAUAGUGAGAAUUCACUAUGUGAGGAUGGAUUUAAUUGUAAAUUUAAAUUUAGUAAGGUAAAGUGAUAAUAGCUCUAAAGUGUGUACAUAUUGCCCGUCGCUUUCAUUAAAUCAGAUGAGAUAA